rnacentral:rRNA from 1 species
AGUGAACGCUGGCGGUAGGCCUAACACAUGCAAGUCGAACGGUAGCACAGUAAGAGCUUGCUCUUACGGGUGGCGAGUGGCGGACGGGUGAGGAAUACAUCGGAAUCUACUUUUUCGUGGGGGAUAACGUAGGGAAACUUACGCUAAUACCGCAUACGACCUACGGGUGAAAGCAGUGGAUCUUCGGACCUUGCGCGAUUGAAUGAGCCGAUGUCGGAUUAGCUAGUUGGCGGGGUAAAGGCCCACCAAGGCGACGAUCCGUAGCUGGUCUGAGAGGAUGAUCAGCCACACCGGAACUGAGACACGGUCCAGACUCCUACGGGAGGCAGCAGUGGGGAAUAUUGGACAAUGGGCGCAAGCCUGAUCCAGCCAUACCGCGUGGGUGAAGAAGGCCUUCGGGUUGUAAAGCCCUUUUGUUGGGAAAGAAAAGCAGCAGGUUAAUACCCCGCUGUUCUGACGGUACCCAAAGAAUAAGCCCCGGCUAACUUCGUG